rnacentral:rRNA from 1 species
UACGUAGGGUGCGAGCGUUAAUCGGAAUUGCUGGGCGUAAAGCGUGCGCAGGCGGUUCUCCAAGUCCGUUGUGAAAGCCCCGGGCUCAACCUGGGAAUGGCAGUGGAAACUAGGGGACUGGAAUCUGGCAGAGGGGGGUGGAAUGCCGCGUGUAGCAGUGAAAUGCGUAGAGAUGCGGCGGAACACCGAUGGCUAAGGCAGCCCCCUGGGCUGAGAUUGACGCUCAGGCACGAAAGCGUGGUGAGCAAACAGG